UUCGCCUGUUUAUCAAAAACAUGGCUCCUUGUAAAAAGUAAAUAGGGAGUCGGACCUGCCCAGUGAAAUUUUUUAACGGCCGCGGUACUCUGACCGUGCAAAGGUAGCAUAAUCAUUUGCCUUAUAAUUGAAGGCUAGUAUGAAUGGUUUGACAAGAAUAUAACUGUCUCUUUUUGAUUUUAUAGAAUUUUAUCUAAAGGUGAAGAAGCCUUUAUUAAAUUAAAAGACAAGAAGACCCUAUCGAGCUUGAAAAGAAUAAAGAGGCCAAAUAAUUAAUAAAUUUAAAAAAAAUUUGCUAUUAAUAAUUUUAGUUGGGGCGACUGAGGAACAAAAAAAGCUUCCUUUAUCAAAACUUAAAUACUUACAAAUAUUGAUCCAAAAAUUUUUGAUUAAAGAAAUUAGUUACCGUAGGGAUAACAGCAUUAUCUUUUUUAAGAGUUCUUAUCGAAAAAAGGGUUUGUGACCUCGAUGUUGGACCAGAAUAUCCUAAAGAUGCAGCAGUCUUUAAGGGUUGGUCUGUUCGACCAUUAAAAUUCUACGUGAUCUGAGUUCAGACCGGA
rnacentral:rRNA from 1 species